GGGUUAGUGGCGGACGGGUGAGUAACGCGUGAGAAUCUGCCCUCAGGAGGGGGAUAACGGUUGGAAACGACCGCUAAUACCCCAUAUGCCGCGAGGUGAAAUGAAUUUCGCCUGAGGAUGAGCUCGCGUCUGAUUAGCUAGUUGGUGGGGUAAGAGCCUACCAAGGCUUCGAUCAGUAGCUGGUCUGAGAGGAUGAUCAGCCACACUGGGACUGAGACACGGCCCAGACUCCUACGGGAGGCAGCAGUGGGGAAUUUUCCGCAAUGGGCGAAAGCCUGACGGAGCAACGCCGCGUGAGGGAUGAAGGCCUCUGGGCUGUAAACCUCUUUUAUCAAGGAAGAAGAUCUGACGGUACUUGAUGAAUAAGCCACGGCUAAUUCCGUGCCAGCAGCCGCGGUAAUACGGGAGUGGCAAGCGUUAUCCGGAAUUAUUGGGCGUAAAGCGUCCGCAGGCGGUCUUACAAGUCUGUCGUUAAAGCGUGGAGCUUAACUCCAUUUCGGCGAUGGAAACUGUAAGACUAGAGUGUGGUAGGGGCAGAGGGAAUUCCCGGUGUAGCGGUGAAAUGCGUAGAUAUCGGGAAGAACACCAGUGGCGAAGGCGCUCUGCUGGGCCAUAACUGACGCUCAUGGACGAAAGCUAGGGGAGCGAAAGGGAUUAGAUACCCCUGUAGUCCUAGCCGUAAACGAUGAACACUAGGUGUCGGGGGAAUCGACCCCCUCGGUGUCGUAGCCAACGCGUUAAGUGUUCCGCCUGGGGAGUACGCACGCAAGUGUGAAACUCAAAGGAAUUGACGGGGGCCCGCACAAGCGGUGGAGUAUGUGGUUUAAUUCGAUGCAACGCGAAGAACCUUACCAGGGUUUGACAUCCUGCGAAUCCCUUGGAAACUUGGGAGUGCCUUCGGGAGCGCAGUGACAGGUGGUGCAUGGCUGUCGUCAGCUCGUGUCGUGAGAUGUUGGGUUAAGUCCCGCAACGAGCGCAACCCACGUCUUUAGUUGCCAGCAUUUAGUUGGGCACUCUAGAGAGACCGCCGGUGAUAAACCGGAGGAAGGUGUGGAUGACGUCAAGUCAUCAUGCCCCUUACAUCCUGGGCUACACACGUACUACAAUGCUACGGACAAAGGGCAGCAAACUCGCGAGAGCUAGCCAAUCCCAUAAACCGUGGCUCAGUUCAGAUCGUAGGCUGCAACUCGCCUACGUGAAGGAGGAAUCGCUAGUAAUCGCAGGUCAGCAUACUGCGGUGAAUACGUUCCCGGGCCUUGUACACACCGCCCGUCACACCAUGGAAGUUGGCCACGCCCGAAGUCGUUACUCCAACCCUUGUGGAGGAGGAUGCCGAAGGUGGGGCUGAUGACUGGGGUGAAGUCGUAACAAGGUAGCCGUACCGGAAGGUGCGGCUGGAUCACCUCCUA
rnacentral:rRNA from 1 species